rnacentral:rRNA from 1 species
UACGUAGGGUGCGAGCGUUGUCCGGAAUUAUUGGGCGUAAAGAGCUCGUAGGCGGUCUGUCGCGUCGGCUGUGAAAUCCCGAGGCUCAACCUCGGGUCUGCAGUCGAUACGGGCAAACUUGAGUGUUGCAGGGGAGACUGGAAUUCCUGGUGUAGCGGUGAGAUGCGCAGAUAUCAGGAGGAACACCGGUGGCGAAGGCGGGUCUCUGGGCAACAACUGACGCUGAGGAGCGAAAGCGUGGGGAGCGAACAGG